AUUGAACGCUGGCGGCAUGCCUUACACAUGCAAGUCGAACGGUAACGGGCCUUCGGGUGCCGACGAGUGGCGAACGGGUGAGUAAUGUAUCGGAACGUACCUUUCAGUGGGGGAUAACGUAGCGAAAGUUACGCUAAUACCGCAUAUUCUGUGAGCAGGAAAGCAGGGGAUCGCAAGACCUUGCGCUGAUUGAGCGGCCGAUAUCAGAUUAGCUAGUUGGAGAGGUAAAGGCUCACCAAGGCGACGAUCUGUAGCGGGUCUGAGAGGAUGAUCCGCCACACUGGACCUGAGACACGGUCCAGACUCCUACGGGAGGCAGCAGUGGGGAAUUUUGGACAAUGGGGGCAACCCUGAUCCAGCCAUGCCGCGUGAGUGAAGAAGGCCUUCGGGUUGUAAAGCUCUUUCGGCCGGGAAGAAAUCGUAUCAGCUAAUACCUGGUGCGGAUGACGGUACCGGCAUAAGAAGCACCGGCUAACUACGUGCCAGCCGCCGCCGUAAUAC
rnacentral:rRNA from 1 species